UGUAGAGAGCGGCGCGGCGAAACAAAGAUGGCGCCGACAUCCAGCCUUGUCUGGAUAUAAACGACUUACUGCGCAUGUGCAGGCUUGUCCCCUUGCUAGGGCUCCCUCUAGUGGUGAACAGCGGUACUGCACAUGUGCGGUUUAUUCACCAGGUGUUAGUUGACCGUUAAUAUGCUAAUGAGGUGAUUCAUUCUCCGCCAAUCCCUGGAGGACAAGUAGUGGGGUGAUCCAAGCCCCACCAAUCCCUGAGAGAUAAUUAGCAUACUGCUGUCUAUAUAAGCCGAGCGAUUUUGCUGCUCGGGGUCCCUGUUCAAGAGAGCUGUAACACUGAGAAGAGCUGUAACACUAAGAAGAGCUGUAACACAGUAAAGGCUUGCUCGCAGAAGAAUCCUGUUGCCACGCGUCGUUCUUGCUGGCGGGACAUUGGGCGCGCGACACCUAAGUCCUCUCCCUUCUUCACUCAUUCAUUAACUUUUCACUUUUCCUACUUUCUAGAGAACCACAGACUCCAGAAGUAUACGUGGGCGUGUGUAAAGACAGGAGCUCCAGACUAGAGAAGAAGCAUGACUUGUACCUGAGAAGGACAAUGGGUUUUCCAUUAUUGAGAAAUAGAUCUCACACACAGUCACUGGGAAAUGAAGGCUCAUCACAGCACUUAGCUUGACUUUGAUUAAGGGAAUUAACUUCAUGUACUCUGAUCUGUUACCUUCAGUGCUGUUACUUCUUAACUACCCUCUCAGCUUUUGACUUCAAAGAGAAUUGAACUUUAAGGGUCAACUUUCCUGCUUGGAUAUAUAACCAAGUGAUAUCGUGGCCAUUGUACUUGGGAGGAAAUUUCUGCUUAAAGAGUGAGUUACCUGUUCAUAGCAGGUGCAUUAACCUGGCAACCAUUUCAGAGCGCCAAUCUCGCAGCGGGCUGUGCUCUGUUCUGCUCCUGUUUGUGUGCUUGUGGGUAAUAGUUACGAGAUUGACAUAAGUCUUAGAAGAGACUUUGGACUUUAAAACAAGGUUGAGACUAUUAUCGACUAUGGGGACUUCUGAAGUUGGAGUAAAUGCAUUUUGUAGUAUGAUGUGGCUAAAAUCUUAUGGAAACCAAGUCACAGAAGUUGGUGAUUUGAAUAAAAAUGGCCCCCAUAGGUUCACAAGGAA